rnacentral:rRNA from 1 species
UGAACGCUAGCGACAGGCCUAACACAUGCAAGUCGAGGGGCAGCACAAGGAGCAAUCUGAGGUGGCGACCGGCGCACGGGUGAGUAACACGUAUGCAACCUGCCUGUAAGCGGGGAAUAACCCGUUGAAAGACGGACUAAUACCGCAUAAUACUAAAUUACUGCAUGGUAAUUUAUUUAAACAUUUAUGGCUUACAGAUGGGCAUGCGCAUGAUUAGCUAGUUGGAGAGGUAACGGCUCCCCAAGGCAACGAUCAUUAGGGGUUCUGAGAGGAAGGUCCCCCACACUGGUACUGAGACACGGACCAGACUCCUACGGGAGGCAGCAGUGAGGAAUAUUGGUCAAUGGACGAGAGUCUGAACCAGCCAAGUCGCGUGCAGGAAGAAUGUCCCUAUGGAUUGUAAACUGCUUUUGCAGGGGAAUAAAGUGCAUCACGUGUGAUGUUUUGUAUGUACUCUGCGAAUAAGGAUCGGCUAACUCCGUGCCAGCCGCUGC